GUCCGCACCGUAAACGAUGAUUACUCGUUGUUGGCGAUAUGACAGUCAGCGACCAAGCGAAGCUAUAAGUAAUCCACCUGGGAGUACGCCGGCAACGGUGAACUCAAGGAAUUGACGGGGCCCGCACAAGCGGAGGAGCAUGUGGUUUAAUUCGAUGAUACGCGAGGAACCUUACCUGGGCUUGAAAGUUAGCGACCGGUCCUGAAAGGGAUCUUCCAGCAAUGGCGCGAAACUAGGUGCUGCAUGGCUGUCGU
rnacentral:rRNA from 1 species